CCCUUAGAUGUUCUGGGCCGCACGCGUGCUACACUGAGUGGAUCAGCGGGUCAGGUUGCGCGAAAGUGUUUCCUAAUCUUUAAAUCCGCUCGUGAUGGGGAUUGACGGUUGCAAUUUUCCGUCAUGAACGGGGAAUACCUUGUAAGCGCGGGUCAUCAUCCCGCGCUGAAUACGUCCCUGCCCUUUGUACACACCGCCCGUCGCUCCUACCGAUUGAGUGGUCCGGUGAGGCUUUGGGAUCUGAGCGGAAAGAGCGUUUCGCUGUUUCUGCCCGGAAAACUCAGUCGAACCUUAUCAUUUAGAGGAAGGAGAAGUCGUAACA
rnacentral:rRNA from 1 species